rnacentral:rRNA from 1 species
GUGGGGAAUAUUGCACAAUGGGCGAAAGCCUGAUGCAGCAACGCCGCGUGAAGGAAGAAGGGUUUCGGCUCGUAAACUUCUAUCAACAGGGACGAAGGAAGUGACGGUACCUGAAUAAGAAGCCCCGGCUAACUACGUGCCAGCAGCCGCGGUAAUACGUAGGGGGCAAGCGUUAUCCGGAAUUACUGGGUGUAAAGGGUGAGUAGGCGGCAUGGUAAGCCAGAUGUGAAAGCCUUGGGCUUAACCCGAGGAUUGCAUUUGGAACUAUCAAGCUAGAGUACAGGAGAGGAAAGCGGAAUUCCUAGUGUAGCGGUGAAAUGCGUAGAUAUUAGGAAGAACACCAGUGGCGAAGGCGGCUUUCUGGACUGAAACUGACGCUGAGGCACGAAAGCGUGGGGAGCGAACAGGA